CCUCCCCUGGAGAAACAUUAGUUAGGCCAGGGCAGCUUAUGGACAACCCCCCACCUGGCUCCUUGGGACACGCAAGUCAGUGGGGCACCGGGUCUCCUACCGGGGAGUGACACUCAGGGGGAGGCAGCCUCACUAGGAGAGGCAGAAGGAAGGGACCCCCUAGAGAACUUUUGUGCCUCACAUUUUGGAGUGUUUUAUUGAUUGCUUGACACAUGCAUGUAUCUUCGGAGUGUUUACUAACUAUUAACUGUACGCCUUGUGUUUAGAGUGUCAUUUAUUGUGGCACUUGCCUGUUCAUAUCAGUUGGACCAUUAUGCUUACCUGCUUGUAUAUGGAAUUGCUGUCAAAUGGAUCUGGUCAGAGUGCACCAUGGAGGAACUCCAGUUUCAGAGAGCAGAGCACUGGACUUGGGACUCCAGAGAACCGAGCUCUACUUGCAGUUCUGCCAUUGGCCUGCUGGCCACGUCAUUUGUCCUGCCUGUUCCUCAUCUGUAAAACAGGACAGGCAGAGAUGAAUUUUCUCCAUUUGAAAACAUAGGCAUUUACCACAGCUUCAAGCCAGUGUACUGCGAGCAGCAUGGAAAUUCUUGUUGUUCUGUGACAAGACUGAACACAAUGCAUAAUAAUUUUUUUCUUUAGGCUUGUUUAGAAAGCAGAGUGCUGUGCAUUUCCUUGGAGUUUCCACUUGGGGCUCUGAUUAAAAACACAAAAAACAACCUGACUGACA